AUUGAACGCUGGCGGCAGGCCUAACACAUGCAAGUCGAGCGGUAGCAGGCCUCCGGGUGCUGACGAGCGGCGGACGGGUGAGGAAUGCAUAGGAAUCUGCGUAUUAGUGGGGGAUAACACGGGGAAACCCGUACUAAUACCGCAUACGUCCGAAGGGAGAAAGUGAGGGAUCUUCGGGCCUCACGCGAAUAGAGGAGACUAUGCCGGAUUAGCUAGUUGGUAGGGUAAAGGCCUACCAAGUCGACGAUCCGUAGCUGGUCUGAGAGGAUGAUCAGCCACACUGGGACUGAGACACGGACCAGACUCCUACGGGAGGCAGCAGUGGGGAAUAUUGGACAAUGGGCGCAAGCCUGAUCCAGCCAUGCCGUGUGUGUGAAGAAGGCCUUCGGGUUGUAAAGCACUUUAAGUGGGGAGGAAGGUCAGUAGAAUAAUACUCUGCUGAAUUGACGUUACCCACAGAAUAAGCACCGGCUAACUCUGUGCCAGCCGCCGCCGUAA
rnacentral:rRNA from 1 species